GGACGAACGCUGGCGGCGUGCUUAACACAUGCAAGUCGAACGGAAAGGCCCUGCUUUUGUGGGGUGCUCGAGUGGCGAACGGGUGAGUAACACGUGAGUAACCUGCCCUUGACUUUGGGAUAACUUCAGGAAACUGGGGCUAUUACCGGAUAGGAGCUCCUGCUGCAUGGUGGGGGUUGGAAAGUUUCGGCGGUUGGGGAUGGACUCGCGGCUUAUCAGCUUGUUGGUGGGGUAGUGGCUUACCAAGGCUUUGACGGGUAGCCGGCCUGAGAGGGUGACCGGCCACAUUGGGACUGAGAUACGGCCCAGACUCCUACGGGAGGCAGCAGUGGGGAAUAUUGCACAAUGGGCGGAAGCCUGAUGCAGCAACGCCGCGUGCGGGAUGACGGCCUUCGGGUUGUAAACCGCUUUCGCCUGUGACGAAGCGUGAGUGACGGUAAUGGGUAAAGAAGCACCGGCUAACUACGUG
rnacentral:rRNA from 1 species